rnacentral:sRNA from 21 species
GAUUGCCGUGCUACGGCUCCGGCAACGUGUCCUUGUUAUACUUCAAGGGAGAGGUAAUCCUUCACCAUGUCAAACGACGGUGUAAAAACAGUAGCG